rnacentral:rRNA from 1 species
GAUGAACGCUGGCGGCGUGCCUAAUACAUGCAAGUCGAGCGAACGGACGAGAAGCUUGCUUCUCUGAUGUUGGCGGCGGACGGGUGAGUAACACGUGGAUAACCUACCUAUAAGACUGGGAUAACUUCGGGAAACCGUAGCUAAUACCGGAUAAUAUUUUGAACCGCAUGGUUCAAAAGUGAAAGACGGUCUUGCUGUCACUUAUAGAUGGAUCCGCGCUGCAUUAGCUAGUUGGUAAGGUAACGGCUUACCAAGGCAACGAUGCAUAGCCGACCUGAGAGGGUGAUCGGCCACACUGGAACUGAGACACGGUCCAGACUCCUACGGGAGGCAGCAGUAGGGAAUCUUCCGCAAUGGGCGAAAGCCUGACGGAGCAACGCCGCGUGAGUGAUGAAGGUCUUCGGAUCGUAAAACUCUGUUAGUAGGGAAGAACAUAUGUGUAAGUAACUGUGCACAUCCUGACGGUACCUAAUCAGAAAGCCACGGCUAACUACGUG